rnacentral:rRNA from 1 species
AUUGAACGCUGGCGGCAGGCCUAACACAUGCAAGUCGAACGAGUGGCGGACGGGUGAGUAAUGUCUGGGAAACUGCCUGAUGGAGGGGGAUAACUACUGGAAACGGUAGCUAAUACCGCAUACCAUCGGAUGUGCCCAGAUGGGAUUAGCUAGUAGGUGGGGUAAAGGCUCACCUAGGCGACGAUCCCUAGCUGGUCUGAGAGGAUGACCGGCCACACUGGAACUGGGACAGGGCCCAGACUCCUACGGGAGCCGGCGUUGGGGAAUUUUGCACAAGGGGCGCAGGCCUGAUGCAGCCAGGCCGGGUGUAUGAAGAGGCCUUUCGGUUUGUAAAUUACUUUCGGCGGGGAAGCGUUACCCGCAGAGAAGCACCGGCUAACUCCGUGCCAGCAGCCGCGGUAAUAC